AGUAAAUAUCCGGGUUUGAAGAAGACGGUUGACACGGCAAUAAUAAAAUUUAGAUCGAAAAAGAAUUACCGCAUUAGGAAGGACAUUACCUGGGUCAGAGUUCAGUGUCCUCAGCAAAAUAAUUCGGUCGAUUGCGGAUUUUUUGUAUUGAAAUUUAUGAGAGAUAUCAUUGCGUUGAAUCGUAUAGACAUCCCAAA